UCCAAUAGCGUAUAUUAAAGUUGCUGCAGUUAAAAAGCUCGUAGUUGAAUUUCGGGACCGAUAUAUCGGUCGUACCUCGGCACGUACUGGUAUUUUCGGUUUCUCCCUUCUGACGAACCUUGAUGUCAUUAAUUUGGUGUCUUGGGGAAUCAGGACUGUUACUUUGAAAAAAUUAGAGUGUUUAAAGCAGGCUCACGCUUGAAUACAUUAGCAUGGAAUAAUGAAAUAGGACGUUUGAUUCUAUUUUGUUGGUUUCUAGGAUCGACGUAAUGAUUAAUAGGGAUAGUUGGGGGCAUUAGUAUUCAAUUGUCAGAGGUGAAAUUCUUGGAUUCAUUGAAGACUAACUACUGCGAAAGCAUUUGCCAAGGAUGUUUUCAUUAAUCAAGAACGAAAGUUAGGGGAUCGAAGACGAUCAGAUACCGUCGUAGUCUUAACCAUAAACCAUGCCGACUAGGGAUCGGAUGAUGUUAAUUUUUUAAUGACUCGUUCGGCGCCUUACGGGAAC
rnacentral:rRNA from 1 species